UUUUGUUUAUCUUUUAAAAAUCAACUGCUCCAAUAUUUUCUAUUUUUUGAAAGGUAGUCUUUAUUUUAUUUUUUCUCUUAUUUUUGUUGGUUUUUUUUCUUCUUAUAACUUUGGGCUUAGUUUACUCUUAUUUUUCUGGUUCACUGAGGUGUAAUAUUGGAUAGUUUUUCUGAUGUCAUGGUUAUUUUUAAAUGUAAAUUUUUAUCUUUAUAAACUUUUUUAUUAGAACUGCUUUUCAUGCAUUGCACAAGAACAUAAACACAAAACAUUUUUAAAAAAUUAAUUUAGGUGUUCUUUAAUUACAUUCAGCAAUGUUUUGUAGUUUAAAAGCCUUGCACCUUCUUGGUGGACUUUAUUUCUAAAUAUUUUAUUCUCUUUGCUGCUAUUGUAUAUGCAAUUAUUUCUUAAUUUUCUUUUUGGAUUGUUUACUGCUAGUGUACAGAAGUACAAUUGAGUUUUGAGUGUUUUAUACCAUGCAAUUUUGCUGAAAUAGUGUAUUAGCUAACUUUUGUGCAUUUUUUAGGAUUUUAUAUGCAAGAUCAUAUAAAUAUAAUAACUACAAAUAAAGUGUUUUUUUUUAAAUUUCUUUUCCUAUUUGGAUAAUUUUUUUCUUUUUUUGGUCUGGUUACUCUUGCUAGAACUUCCAAUACAAUGUUGAUAGAAAUGGUGAAAGUGGGCCAAUGUACUUGAUUAACAUAGAUGCAAACGUCCUCAACAAAAUACUAGCCAAGAUGGCUGAAUAAGAACAGCUCCAGUCUGCAGCUCCCAGUGAGAUCAAUGCAGAAGGAAAUUCAAGGGAUAGUUAUUGAACUAAAUAAAAGCACAAGGAAGCAAUCAGAUAAAUCUGGAAAGACUGACGUUAUUUUAAAAUGGUGCUUGCUUAGUAGAGGUGCAUAAGAAGAGGAAUGUUGGAAUUUCAUCUUAUUCACAAUACACAUGCCAGAUAUAUUUUGCUUUCCUGAAAAAGUUGUACUAUCUUUACUCCUUCUCUAAAUCUGUUGCCUUUCUAAGCAUGAUACCAAAGGCAUAUAUCCUGAAGAAAAGAGUGAUAGAUUUUACUACAAAAAUUUAAAGCUGCCUGCCAAAAUCCACUAUAAACAAGAUUGAAAGGCAACUGACAAGUCAGAACAAUGGGAGUAACACAUAUGGUGAACAAAGGGUGACCAUCCUUCUUAUAAAAGCUCUUAAAAUACAAGAACAUAUUGCACAUACCAGAUCAUCUUUUCAUAUGGAGAGCCAGGUACUGUUAUUAUCUUUAUUUUGUAGCUAGAUAAAGAAGUUAAGGUUUAAAGGGGACUCACAGUUAGUCAUGAGUGAAAGAUUCAAACCCAGGUUGUCUGACCCCAGAGUCUAUGCUUUUAACCACUGAGCUACACUGCCCUCCAUUGUUACAGAUGGCCAGAGACAUGAACAGGUAAUUUACAAAGACACCCAACAGCUAGCAAACAUCUAAUAUUUAUUUACUUUCUGGAAAUCAAAUAAUGGAAAUGAAAAUAAUUGGAGGACAUUUUGUCUAUAAAACUGACAAAAAUUUUAAACAGUUGUUAUGUUAAUUACUGGCAAGAUAUGGAAAAACCAGACAAUGGAUAAAUCCUUUUAUUAAUUUAACUCAUCAAUGUUAAAACUAAGUUAUAGUUUUUAACAUUGUAAUUUAAUUUUGAAUUAUUAAUCCUGGGAAAAUAAUUGUGUAUAUGUGAGAUUUGGUUAUGAGGAUGUUAAUUCAAUAUUUGUUUAUAAUAGCUAAAAACUGUAGACAACCAAAAUGUUCAACAAUAGAGGACUGCUUAAUUAGCAUACAUUUAUAAAAUGGAAUACCAGUAGUUGUUUAAAGUGGUAUUUUAAAGAGUUGUUCACGGGGGCACAGUGGUUCACACCUGUAAUCCCAACACUUUGGGAGGUGAGGCCGGUGGAUCACCUGAGUUCAGGAGUUCGAGACCAGCCUGGCCAACAUGGUGAAAUCCCGCCUCUACUAAAAAUACAAAAAUUAGCCAGGCAUGGUGGUGCGUGUUUGUAGUCCGAGCUACCCAGGAGGCUGAGGCAGGAGAAUCGCUUGAACAUGGAGGAAGAGGUUGCAGUGAGCCGAGAUCGUGCCACUGCAUUGCAGCCUGGGCGACAGAGUGAGACUCUGUCUCAAAAUAAAAAUAAGUAAAUAAAUAGUUGUUUGAUGGCA
rnacentral:lncRNA from 13 species